CCUGGCGGCCGUAGCGCGGUGGUCCCACCUGACCCCAUGCCGAACUCAGAAGAGAAACGCCGUAGCGCCGAUGGUAGUGUGGGGUCUCCCCAUGCGAGAGUAGGGAACUGCCAGGC
rnacentral:rRNA from 1 species